ensembl:lncRNA
CAGGAGAACAGGAAAGCACAGUCGACUCUGCGAUGCCAUCUGGAUCAGGUAUCGAAGUGAGUGGCGAGACAGGGCUUAAUAUUCUCAGAACAAUUCUGAGUAAACAAUCAAACCUUGAGGACGCAGACAUUGCAGCUGCAAUGCCGAAAAUCAGCUUCUCUCAAGAAUGGCACCAAAGUACUUUCAAGAAAUAGAUCAGUUUGUGGAGAACCACUUACCCUCGCUGCCACCAGAGGGAUCUCAAGUAAAGCAGAUGCAGGACUUUCUAAAGAGCGCACAGAGUAUUAUAUGCAAUGAGGUGCGCAGAUUAACACCUUUACUGAAAAAUGCUGGACUGCUAGUUCAUCUGAAGGACAGUUACAGCCGUCACCUCUUUACCAACCUGGACCUGCUACUAAACAGAGAUCUGUCUGUAAAACAGAUCUUCUGCCUUAUUAUGUGGGAAAAAGAUGUUUUCUUCAGUCCAGACUCAAAACUGAGUGUGUACGACCCUUCGCUGCUGACAGGAAGGUUUGAGAGAGCAAAGCAGAAACUGCUUCAAGUACUUCAGGAUGACAUCUCCACGACUCUACAGAACAUCCGACACUAUGAUGAGGAACAUGGACAUAGUGAGGACUCAAUGGAUGAAGAAACUUUCAUCAGAGUUCACUUAGAUGUCACCCAGUGUCUGAAUGCUGUUAUUAACAAUUCUAAAGAAUUUAGUAACACCCUGAUGUGUACAGCACAGACGCUCUGCCUUAAAGAGCUUCAUCAUUUUGUUCAGGAGUAUGCACAUGCACAGAAAAAAUGUCUGGGAAAACAGAAACCCCUGAACUCAAAAUAUGUGCAUCUGUUUCGGCUCAUCAGCACCAGUAGGCAACUCAGAUUUUUUGCUGAUCGACUCAACAAUCCGGAUAUUAACAACAGUAACGACCUCUCAAACAUCAUCUGCAUGUUAGAGGAGCUGGAAGAUCACGUUCUGUCAAUUGUACAGAAGAUGAUGAAACACUUAGCGCAGGGCUAUUUGAGAAAAUAUUUCAAAAAAGAAGGUGAGCAAAUUCAAAUGCUGACAGAGGGCAUUCAAAAGCGGUGUGCAUCUCUGCCUCAGGCUCAUGUGGGAAAAGAGAUUCAGGAGAUCUUUGUAAAUGUAGCCUAUGACUGCAUUUCACACGUAUAUCUGGAUUGCCUGAUGAAGAGCAAGUUCAAGCGGCUAGAGAAGAGAUGGGGAAAUGUCGGAGAAAGGAUGAGAGAGGAUGCUCUCAGUUUUCACAACACAUUUACUGAACUGAAUGGCAGUGAUGACCAGAGGUACCAUCUCCUUCAGAGAAUGAGUGAAGUUUUGCUCUGCAGUGAUGUAGAUGCACUGAAGAUUACCUGUUGUGAUUUGUUCAGGGAUUUCCCUCAAGACAGUGAGCAGUAUGUACCUGGUCUGCUGCGCUGGAAAGGUGUGUUAUCAGAGCGACAGGUGAAGGAAGUGCUGACUGUGAGCCGGGAUCUCGUUCUGGAUCUAAAGCCUAGACGUGUCACAUGUCAGCGUCUGAAGGGGCUUUGCUGUUGUCUUUGA